GGUUGGUCCAAGUGCAGUGGUGUUUACAACUAAUUCAUCAUAACCAGUUACAGAUUCCUUUGUUCCUUCUCCACUCCUACUGCUUCACUUGACCAGCCUUUA
rnacentral:Y_RNA from 1 species